rnacentral:rRNA from 1 species
CGGUCCAGACUCCUACGGGAGGCAGCAGUGGGGAAUAUUGGACAAUGGGCGCAAGCCUGAUCCAGCCAUACCGCGUGGGUGAAGAAGGCCUUCGGGUUGUAAAGCCCUUUUGUUGGGAAAGAAAAGCAGUCGAUUAAUACUCGGUUGUUCUGACGGUACCCAAAGAAUAAGCACCGGCUAACUUCGUGCCAGCAGCCGCGGUAAUACGAAGGGUGCAAGCGUUACUCGGAAUUACUGGGCGUAAAGCGUGCGUAGGUGGU